GAAAUGCGAUACUUGGUGUGAAUUGCAGAAUCCCGUGAACCAUCGAGUCUUUGAACGCAAGUUGCGCCCGAAGUCUUUUAGACCGAGGGCACGUCUGCCUGGGCGUCACACACAGCGUCGCCCCCCACCAACCCGUUGGCUGGGGGACGGAAACUGGCCCCCCGAGCCCCCACGGGCACGGUCGGCACAAAUGUCGGUCCUCGGCGGCGAGCGUCGCGGUCAGCGGUGGUUGUAUUCUCACCCCCCAAAGACAGAAACGACGCGCACGCCUCGCCGCACGCAGGCGUAACGAACCCAGAGAAGCUCUCCCCGGAGACUUCAACCUGCGACCCCAGGUCAGGCGGGAUUACCCGCUGAGUUUAA
rnacentral:misc_RNA from 1 species